ACGUACGCUGGCGGCACGCCUAACACAUGCAAGUCGAACGAAGUAGCAAUACUUAGUGGCAGACGGGUGAGUAACAUGUAGGUAUCUGCCCUUUGGCCUGGAAUAACACGAGGAAACUUGUGCUAAUACCGGAUAAGUCUUUACGGAGAAAGCUUUAUGCACCAUUGGAUGAGCCUGCACUUGAUUAGUUUGUUGGUGGGGUAAUGGCCUACCAAGACUGUGAUCAAUAGCUGAUUUGAGAGGAUGAUCAGCCACAUUGGGACUGAGACACGGCCCAAACUCCUACGGGAGGCAGCAGUGGGGAAUCUUGCACAAUGGAGGAAACUCUGAUGCAGCGAUGCCGCGUGAGUGAAGAAGGCCCUUGGGUUGUAAAGCUCUUUCGUCGGGGAAGAAAAUGACUGUACCCGAAUAAGAAGGUCCGGCUAACUUCGUGCCAGCAGCCGCGGUAAUACGAAGGGACCUAGCGUAGUUCGGAAUUACUGGGCUUAAAGAGUUCGUAGGUGGUUGAAAAAGUUAGUGGUGAAAUCCCAGAGCUUAACUCUGGAACUGCCAUUAAAACUUUUCAGCUAGAGUAUGAUAGAGGAAAGCAGAAUUUCUAGUGUAGAGGUGAAAUUCGUAGAUAUUAGAAAGAAUACCAAUUGCGAAGGCAGCUUUCUGGAUCAUUACUGACACUGAGGAACGAAAGCAUGGGUAGCGAAGAGGAUUAGAUACCCUCGUAGUCCAUGCCGUAAACGAUGUGUGUUAGACGUUGGAAAUUUAUUUUCAGUGUCGCAGCGAAAGCGAUAAACACACCGCCUGGGGAGUACGACCGCAAGGUUAAAACUCAAAUGAAUUGACGGGGACCCGCACAAGUAGUGGAGCAUGUGGUUUAAUUCGAAGAUACGCGCAGAACCUUACCAACACUUGACAUGUUCGUCGCGACUCUAAGAGAUUAGAGUUUUCGGUUCGGCCGGACGAAACACAGGUGCUGCAUGGCUGUCGUCAGCUCGUGUCGUGAGAUGUUGGGUUAAGUCCCGCAACGAGCGCAACCCUCACUUUUAGUUGCCAUCAUUAAGUUGGGCACUCUGAAAGAACUGCCAGUGAUAAGCUGGAGGAAGGUGGGGAUGACGUCAAGUCCUCAUGGCCCUUACGUGUUGGGCUACACACGUGCUACAAUGGUAUCUACAACAGGAAGCAAGACUGCGAAGUUAAGCAAAUCCCCAAAAGAUACCUCAGUUCGGAUUGCACUCUGCAACUCGAGUGCAUGAAGCUGGAAUUACUAGUAAUCGUGGAUCAGCGUGCCACGGUGAAUGCGUUCCCGGGUCUUGUACACACCGCC
rnacentral:rRNA from 1 species